ACGGCUGAAGCCCGCAGCUUGCUGUGGGUGGAUGAGUGGCGAACGGGUGAGUAACACGUGAGUAACCUGCCCCCGACUUCGGGAUAAGCCCGGGAAACUGGGUCUAAUACCGGAUAUGACMACCGAASGCAUCUUCGGUUGUGGAAAGUUUUUUCGGUUGGGGAUGGGCUCGCGGCCUAUCAGUUUGUUGGUGAGGUAAUGGCUCACCAAGACGACGACGGGUAGCCGGCCUGAGAGGGCGACCGGCCACACUGGGACUGAGACACGGCCCAGACUCCUACGGGAGGCAGCAGUGGGGAAUAUUGCACAAUGGGGGAAACCCUGAUGCAGCGACGCAGCGUGCGGGAUGACGGCCUUCGGGUUGUAAACCGCUUUCAGCAGGGAAGAAGCCCYUUGGGGUGACGGUACCUGCAGAAGAAGUACCGGCUAACUACGUGCCAGCAGCCGCGGUAAUACGUAGGGUACAAGCGUUGUCCGGAAUUAUUGGGCGUAAAGAGCUCGUAGGUGGUUGGUCACGUCUGCUGUGGAAACGCAACGCUUAACGUUGCGCGUGCAGUGGGUACGGGCUGACUAGAGUGCAGUAGGGGAGUCUGGAAUUCCUGGUGUAGCGGUGAAAUGCGCAGAUAUCAGGAGGAACACCGGUGGCGAAGGCGGGACUCUGGGCUGUAACUGACACUGAGGAGCGAAAGCAUGGGGAGCGAACAGGAUUAGAUACCCUGGUAGUCCAUGCCGUAAACGUUGGGCACUAGGUGUGGGGGACAUUCCACGUUCUCCGCGCCGUAGCUAACGCAUUAAGUGCCCCGCCUGGGGAGUACGGUCGCAAGGCUAAAACUCAAAGGAAUUGACGGGGGCCCGCACAAGCGGCGGAGCAUGCGGAUUAAUUCGAUGCAACGCGAAGAACCUUACCAAGGCUUGACAUACACCAGACCGUCCUGGAAACAGGUCCUCCUCUUUGAGGUUGGUGUACAGGUGGUGCAUGGUUGUCGUCAGCUCGUGUCSUGAGAUGUUGGGUUAAGUCCCGCAACGAGCGCAACCCUCGUUCAUGUUGCCAGCACGUGAUGGUGGGAACUCAUAGGARACUGCCGGGGUCACCUCGGAGGAAGGUGGGGAUGACGUCAAAUCAUCAUGCCCUUAU
rnacentral:rRNA from 1 species